CGGGCAGAAACCCUAGCCGCCGGCCCGCCAAUCCCCGAGCGGGCUCGUCCUCCCCAAUCCCCUCGCUGGCGCCUCCUCCCCCAAUCGCUCGUGCCCGCGUCGCACCGACCUCUGCCUUGACCUGCUGCCUCUCUCCUUGAGCUUUGCCUUCCCCUUCCGCGGAAAUAGCAUCGCAGGUGGAGGCGCCGGCGCGGCGCCGCCGGUGGUUUCGCGGGUGCGCUGGGGCGCCGCUGCCUGUAGAAGCGCGAGCACGCGGGAGCAGCGCCGCUACGGCUACCGACGGAGGCUUGUCGCGGUGUCACAGGCGCGCGGGAGCGGCGCCGCCAAUCAUCUUCCUCCUCUCUGCGAGCGGACAACCUCGCUGAUGCCUCCUUUGUACUCACCCCUGCGGGCAAAGUCGAGCAACCGCCGAUGCCGCUGUUGGCCAUGGGGAGAGGGCGUACCUCAGGGAUAUGACGACGGCAACUGCGACCUCCCGCGCGGCUGCAGAAUGCGAGCUCGUCAGGGCGACGGCGGUUGGUGGCGCGGGCAGAUGCUUCGUCUUGGGCAAAGGUUGGGGGAGAGCAGCCUGCGUCCUCAACUACGGCGGAGGCUACCACGAAGUCGCUUGGUCCGGCAUGGCCAUGGUGGUGCACUCCUGGGAUCCCAUCAUCUGCAAAGGUAGAUCCCAUGACCCCAAACAAGUUGUAAAUUUUGUUUGCUGGUAUGGUGUUUGACAAAAUGCCAAAACCAACGGCAUCCUCUUCUUCAUGAUUUAUUUGCCUCAUCUAAUACACAGACAUAUAUACAUGGACUCCUCUUGUUAUAUCCAGAUAGCAAAUUGUAUCCUCACCCUUUCACCGAAAUAUGCAAUUUUAUUCCCUGGUUUAUUGGCGAAACAUGAUUAUGGCACAUAAGGUUAAUCUACACUUCUGUUUUAAAGUUCCAGGCUUACCUCUCUAAAAUAACUUCCUUCGUAUUAAUUUGCACCUGCAAUGGAAGGCAUGAUUUUUUGCUUUCAUCGUCGAGCCGAAGAGAGCCGCUGCCGCAAGCUUGAUUGGAGACCAUCAGGAGAAGCAAAUGGAGCAGGCAGUGACCUUUCGACGGCGAAAAAAUACGGGUUGGAUGCCACAAGAUUUGUUGCUGUUUGUGGUUACAAAUGUCAAUUUGGUCAUGUUUCUUGACUUUUGAUUUUUUACAGUUUGUUGUGUCACCCCGUCUAAAGAUGCCCGUGGCUGCCGUCCACCUCAUGUGAGGUGGGCAAGCACUUUGUCCACGUUUUUCUAUUUCUCCCCAAUGAAACAUAAGAACUGUCAUAUAUAGUUGUUCUCAUAAGCUCUAAACAAAGGCAAUGAGCAACAAAAACACAUAUGCUGAUUCCAAAUUUAGCUUAGUAAUAUAGCUGGUUGCAAGAUAAUAUAUAUGGUGUUUUUCAAUAAUUCAGGUGCAAACCUUUUAUGUGGGAAUUAUAGUAGCUAGCAAUAAGCCAGAUGUUCUUGCGAUCUUACCUUAGUUGUAUUUCAUAUCAGAUGCAACCAUCAGGUUUAUCUUGGCUCUACUAUGCUUAAUUAAGUGGCUCAGGUUCUCAUGAUUAUUGAGCCUUCUACGGGAUCAUGUUGCCAUUUCAUUGAGGUACCCGGCCGCCCGUAUCAGCAAUUCGACCGCGGGGUUGCCGUGGCAGAAAAAAUCCCCACCGGUAAGAUCCCCUUUUGUUUCCAUGUGCGCCUGCUGCCGCAUUUUUCUCUUUUGCUUUUAACUCCCGCCCGUCGUCGAUAGCUUCCUUGGACGCGUGAGCUUGUCCGCUCACUGCAGCCACUCCACCACCGGCAGAUCCCAUCGCAUCGCGCAAGAACAGUAGCAACACUGCACCGGUUGGGACUGAAUCCAAAACUGUUUUCACUAUACUGUGAUUUGCCGAUGUAGUAUGAGAAUAUGUGAUUUGCCCAUGUAGUAUGAGAAUAUGUGACUUGCCCAGGUUGUAUGAUUAGCUCUAUUCCAAUAUAAGUCUCCGAAAGUAAGUAGGCAAUAUGCUCUUUCUUGUGUGCUUGCAUGAAUUUAUAUAGCAGAAGAUACAUAAUGACUUCAGUGAAAUCAAAAUUUGACGGUGACAGUUCAACAAAUUGUUUUAGCAUGGUGAAUGACAAAAAAAUUGGUAGUAUAAAUUAAUCAGCCUCCUCUCUGUGUCCCCUCCUUAAUUUGUUCAUGCCAUGUGUUUAGUUAAUCACAUAAUGAAACUGUUAACUUAUACCUCUGUCUGAAUUUGUGGAAAUCUUAUAGAAAAACUUAUGGCAUGGUUUUUCUCCUUUACUUCCCUUGAUUUGUUCCUUUUCUUACAAUUUGCUCUGCCUAGGUUUGUCCCCAACGACAAAAUACGAGGCCUCGCUCAAAGUUUAAACAGGUUAGAGCACCGACAAUCUCUCUAGUGCUGCCCAAUUGGGCCUGAACCCAAUGAUGACGGACAUGUAAGGUACCAAACUGCUGGUACAGCUUGUGUUACCACCUUCUUCUCUGUUAAUCCUUUCACUCACUGCUAUACAGGUAUAUUGUUCAUCCAAUGGUUUUAUGUUACAACUAGAGUAGGUGCCUAAUAACUCACCAGGCAGACAAAUUCGUACAGAAAAGCAAGACAAUUAUUAAGUACACACUUCCAUUAUCAGUUUAAGCAAGAGAAAAUCUUGGCAUGUUUUUUUUCCUUUAAAUUUCAUUGAAGUAGUUGUGUAUUAGAAUUUACCUGAGUAUAUUGCUCUCGACUGAUUAAUAUUCAGUGAUGUUCUUUAUCUUUUAGUUGAACUGUAGUAGAAGAUGUCUACAUACCAGUAGCCCGAUUUAGUAAUUUCCAUGUGCGUGUGAAGUUAGCUUCUGUAGAUAGAAAAUCCAUGUAGUUUUCAGCUGUUGCCUUUUAAUUUUCCUAGCAUCCCUGGUUCACGUGGGGGGCUACUACUUAUGAAAAUUAUUCAGCCAUGCAUGUUAGAAACUAUGGUUACCCGUCCAGACAUGUGUUUUAAAUUUUCUCCAACAUUCCCCUGUUUGGAGAACCGUUGUAAAACGUUACUCUUGCUAUUUUGUUUCUGAUUGUGCAUGCUUUAUUUUUUAACUGAAUUUAUGUCCCUUCCUGCAUCUACAUUGUAUUACAAAUAGAUUUCUCCUGCAGUGCUUGUCCGUUUGAGGCCACCAUCUGGUGCUAAAACUGAUGGGCCUAAAUUACUGAUUGAGCUUAAGGGGUAAGGGAUUAUAAAAUAGCUGCAGCAAAAUAGAUAGCAGAUUGGCUACCAGGAAAAAUAAAUCUAAUCUUGCAACCACAUGUAGUUGUUUGCUACUGUACUGACAAGAUUCCAGUAAUUCAAUUCUUUUUGAAACUGAUUUAAUAAUUUGAUUUGUCCUCCUUUUCCUCUCAUAUAACUAGAUCGCUUGAGAAGUGAAUACGUCUCUCAUUUAGUAAAGGAAGAUGAUGUCAUGUAGCGGCAAUGCGCGUGUUUUACUACAUGAAUAAAUGAAAGACUCUUCUUCUAAGAAAAUAAUAAUAAAGACAAUGAUGCUUGUGCUUUCUUCUUACAGCCCAAGACCAUUUUCAGUAUAGUUAGUGGUUUUUUUUACUUUUGCUUGCCGGGAUUUCCAUGCCAUGGUCGAGUACUUUAUUUUUGCUACACUGCAAGAGUAGCAGCAUGGUUAACAUGGUUGUUUACUUCAAUAUUCACACUAUCCGUCACGAUCCCGACAUCAUCCACCAUUCCACCCUUCUGCUGCUCUAUGUCCCUCCUCCGAGGGCUUCAACCGGAGCUGCAAAUGGAACUGCCAUGGUCGUAUCUGUAGCUGAAAUCACAUGUAAUUCAUGUACCCAAGAUCUUAUCUUCCUUGUGAUUCACUUCUACUCACUAUACCUGUUAACGUAUACUCCAUACUCCAUACUCUUAGGCCUGGAUAAUUAAAUGUGAGGUCUCCAUUGGUUUCUCUUCAUCCUCUAAACUGAUGCAAAAUUUUAAAAGAAGCUUAGGAUUUGACAUGUACUAUUUCUAGAUAAUGAGUUUUCUCAAUAUUCGUUAUUUUAAGAAUGAUGAGAAGAAUUAGUAUUAUUAGAAUGUCCGACUGCAAUACAAUAUAGAUUCCAUCAGGAAAUUUAGUUCGUACUGAAUGUCACGUUGCACUGUUCUGAUGCUUCAAAGUAUUUGGUGUUCUGCUUAUUCUCUACUCUUUGCCUCCGAGAUAAGGAGAUUGUGAUAGCUGCAGCUGAAGAGGAACAAAGGGCUACUCAAAAACUUCAGCAAGCUAUAUAUUUGAAGAUAUUAUUGGAAGGAUCACCAUGGUCUCAGACAUCAUACCUGUUCAGGCCAUGCAUCAGACAAUGCCUUCGAACCCAAGAUGGUUAUGCUCAAGGAUCAUCAGCAAGUUAUUAUGAUCCUUCUGUUUUCUUUUGGAGACGAUGAUUCUGCUGAUGAUUUAUGUACCUUAUUGUUCCUGGCUAUGUAAAUCUACAGGGGCAAUGAAAUGAAGUUGGCUCUUUGGGGUGACUGUGUGGUUCAUUUUGACGCGGAAGUUGUCCGUGCUAUACGACAUAAAUAACCAAUCAUUACUAUUUUGUGGAACAUUACCUAAGACAUCUCAUGGUACUCCCUGUCAUCGCUUCUUUAUAAUCUGUAUGGUUUGGUAAAUUCAUGUUUCAUAUUUUUUAUGGUGUUCCUUGUUGCGUUGCUUAUGUCCUUUUGAGAUAUGUGUACUCUAUGUGCGUCUGUAUAUUAGUGGUGGUAGAUAUGUAUUUUCAUGUCGGUUCGGUGCUGGUAAUAGAGGAUUGAGUGGUUAGAAAGUAUAGAAGGUAUGAGGUUUAGUUCAUUUGUCCAUUCAUAAAAGCAGGGGCUUCUCCGUGUUGCUUCCUAUGUUCUUCAUGCUUUCCUUUGCCUUUGUUUUCUGCUGCUAUUUAUGCAUGUCGAUGUUAUCGUGUGGUUUUAUAUUAUCUCCGCCUAUGUAGAAAAGUCUGAUUUCUUCUCCGUGCCUGCCCUUUGUACCCAGUUCUUCAUGCCCAUGAGUUCCAGAAGUGAGGCCUUCCGCAGGCUCAAUACUGGUAGGCACGCUCAACACGGGUAGAGGUAAACUUUAGAACAGUCACCUCUCGUGUACCGUGCACAAAGUCUACCAAAAGAAUAUCAUCUCUUACUGUUUCAAACAUAGAUCCAUGACCAUCUUAUUGCCCCUUUUGUUACUGUGUUGCAAAAAUAUGACACAAUAGAUUAAAUACCAUUCUUAUUGCCCCUUUUGUUCUUUCCCUUCUCGGUUUUGUAAUGCUCUUUAUUUCCUUUUGGGUUCUCUUCUUACUGUUUCUUCUUCUUUGUUUUGGAUGUCUUCUUUCUUCUCAUGGCUCGUGUAUAUUAUUUCUUCGAUUUGUUCUUUCCGAUUUCUUCAUGGCUCCCUCUGUUUUUUUCUUCGAUUUGCUUUUUUCCUCUCUCUAUUCUUUCCGAUUUCUUCGAGAUUUUUUUUUCCUUCGAGUUCCUGCGGGGAUCUUAACGGCAAGUGUGUUUGUAUGUAAAAGGGAAAAUUUUCCAAAAUAAUUUUAGGAGGACACUGUUAUUGAUGAAAAUGCUGUGACAAUGGUAGAUGUGUAUUUAAGGAUGGAAAAUGCUCAAUAACUAGCUCUGUAACCAGUAGAUAUUUUAUAUGUGUAACAUGUAGUAUUCUUUAUUCUAUCCCGCUCAUUUAUUUAGGGCACAUCUUUUUAUAGAUUGCAUGUAAAAGGAUGUUACUACUUUUGGUUGGUACUAAAGAUGCUUUGGAAUCAACGACUUUGGUUGAAUCUGGAAAAGGUGAUUAGUUGAAGAUUUAGAACUUCUUGGGCGUGCUAACAUUUUCUACUGAUUCUCUAUUGAUUUUCAUGGACAUAAAACAUAAUUAGGAACUGAUGCUUUAUUGUGUACAGGUUAUUAAGAGAUAUGCAUGAUUAACAAUUUGUCUGCUUUAUUGUGAUUUUGAUCUCCAGAUAGAACUAGGAACCGAAUAUGAACUACUUUUUACUUAAAUGACUAUGCCAUUUUGUUUUUUCUUUUAGCAGCGUUGUAUACUUAAGUUGAAGAUAUUAUUUUUUAUUUGAAUAUGUUCGCUAAAAAUUGAUGAGUCCGGACUGAAAAUUAAAAGCCUUAACAACACGUGUGUUUAUAUGCUUUAUGUACUAGGUUCCUUAUUACUUACAUGUUACUUGUCUUCUAUGUCAGCUUAGUCUGCCUGUUAUUCAUGAACCAACCGCUCCAACAGCCCUAGCUACGAUGUCUUUGUCAAUUAAUACCAGGUUCUCAUAUGUUGUUUCGUGCUCAUUUGGCCGUCUGCUUGACAUAAGAUAAAACAAAUACCUAAGUUGUUUGAUCAGCUAACUCAAGUAAUAACUUCCAUUUCUGUUAGUCGUUGUAUUUUUCAUGGUUAGAUUUUGUAGAAGGGAUGUAGUUAGGUUUGUGCUCUGUUUGUAAUCCCAUCUACUUUAUCGUAAGUUCAUUCUAUUAACAUUGUUUUGUAAAAACCAAGAUUUUUUUAAUCAUUUUUCGCCUAAUUUUUAUCGUUGUUACACAAAGUGUGUAUCAGCAUGAGCUCCAAGAGAUCCUGCGCCAAGGCGCACCCCAAAAUAUGGCUUUUUUAAACUGGACUUUCUUUUGCUUUUGUGUUAGAGCUGAGAGCAGGUAUUAUUCCCUUAUCAAGUAUGACAUUCAAUCUAUUUGAUGUUAUCAAGUACUGUCAUCUUGCUGCCAACUACUGCAUUAUUCAAUCUAUUUGCACAUGCAUGUAUUAUUAUUUUGCCAAUGGUUUACCUUAACUAUCUACUCCUAGAUUAACUUAGUGUUCUGACUUAUGACAACUUAUUGCUUGCAAGAUUACUCCAGCCCAGUACAGUAUAUCGAUGCAUCAGAUAAAGGAUGAUGGUUUCCAUUAUGACUCCGAUUGGCGUCCUAUAGAUUACGAGGUUUGAUCAUUGUUACCUGAACUAUCACUACUGUGUCACUACCUCUGGUGUCUGUUUUGCGUAAUGAUCUCUGGUCAUGGAGUCAUUGUGCUUUGGUAUUUCGUCCUAGACUCUUAAUGUAAUAAGUUUGAAUAGCUCUGCUUUGAACCCGAAUGGUACCUCUCCAUGUGUUUAGCUAUUGUAAUCUCUGAACAAUGUGUCCAUGUACCUAUUGUAAUAUAUUUCCCUAUUUUCUGCA